UGUGAUGUUCUAUGCCAAGUGUAUGAGUGAG
rnacentral:piRNA from 1 species